rnacentral:rRNA from 1 species
AGAAGUUACUUAAGGGCGAACGGAGGAUGCCUAGGCUUCUAUGGGCGAAGAAGGACGUGGUAAGCUGCGAAAAGCUGCGGGGAUCAGCAAACAUGAUUUGAUCCGCAGAUAUCCGAAUGGGACAACCCGGCUGGCUGAAGGCCAGUCACAUCGCAAGAUGAGCCAACGCAGGGAACUGAAACAUCUAAGUACCUGCAGGAAAAGAAAGAAAUAUCGAUUCUCUGAGUAGUGGCGAGCGAAAGGGGAAUAGCCUAAACCAAUAUUGUUUCGGCAAUGUUGGGGUUGUAGGAUCGCGACAUUGAGUUAUAAAAAGAAGUGGAAUCAAUUGGAAAAUUGGGUCGUAGAGGGUGAUAAUCCCGUACACGUAUUUUUUAUAAUUUAUAGCGAUAUCCUGAGUAGGGCGGGACACGAGGAAUCCUGUCUGAAUCUACGGGGACCAUCCCGUAAGGCUAAAUACCAAUAGAAGACCGAUAGUGAACCAGUACUGUGAAGGAAAGGUGAAAAGUACCCCGAACAGGGGGGUGAAAUAGAACCUGAAACCGUUCGCUUACAAGCGGUCGGAGUCCUUUAGGGGAUGACGGCGUGCCUUUUGCAUAAUGAGCCUACGAGUUGCAUCUCACUAGCAAGGUUAAGUACUUCAGGUACGGAGCCGAAGCGAAAGCGAGUCUUAAUAGGGCGCUAAGUUAGUGGGAGCAGACGCGAAACCUUGUGAUCUACCCUUGACCAGGUUGAAGGAGCCGUAACAGGCUGUGGAGGACCGAACCAGUUUCCGUUGAAAAGGAUUUGGAUGAGUUGAGGGUAGGGGUGAAAGGCUAAUCAAACUGGGAGAUAGCUCGUACUCCCCGAAAUGUCUUUUGGGACAGCCUCAAUCUAUAGCUUAUCGGAGGUAGAGCGACUGAUAGGAUGCGAGGGCUUCACCGCCUAUCAAUUCCUGACAAACUCCGAAUGCCGAUAAGUGUUAAUUGGGAGUGAGUCGCCGGGUGCUAAUGUCCGGUGGCGAGAGGGAAAGAGCCCAGACCAACAGCUAAGGCCCCCAAACGUGUGUUAAGUUGAUAGAACGAUGUUCGGUUGCAGCGACAGCUAGGAUGUUAGCUUGGAAGCAGCUAUUCAUUUAAAGAGUGCGUAACAGCUCACUAGUCGAGCGACUGAGCGUGGAUAAUAAACGGGCAUCAAACACACUGCCGAAGCUUUGGACUCUGUAAAGAGUGGUAGGGGAGCAUUCUAGUCAGCGCCGAAGGUGUACUGUGAGGUAUGCUGGAGCGGUUAGAAAAGAAAAUGUAGGCAUAAGUAACGAUAAUGCAGGCGAGAAACCUGCACACCGAAAACCCAAGGUUUCCUGAUCAACGUUAAUCGGAUCAGGGUUAGUCGGGGCCUAAGGAUAAGCCGAAAGGUGAAUUCGAUGGACAAAUGGUUAAUAUUCCAUUACCUGUAUAUUGAGUGAAGGAGAGACGGAGUAGUGACACACACGCCAACUGACGGAAUAGUUGGUUAAAGGUCUAAGGUAUAUUAUUAGGUUAAUAGCUUAGUAAUGCUGACGGCCGACAGUACAGAGAGUCUUCGGACAAUUUGAUAGUUGUGGUAAUCAAACUUCCAAGAAAAUCUUCGUAGCGUUAAUUGAUAUACAGCCCGUACCGUAAACCGACACAGGUGGGUGAGGAGAGAAUCCUAAGGUGCUCGAGUGAAUCAUGGCUAAGGAACUCGGCAAAUUGACCCCGUAACUUCGGGAUAAGGGGACCCUAGAGAUAGGGCGCAGAGAAAUGAUCCAGGCGACUGUUUAACAAAAACACAGGGCUUUGCAAAAUCGAAAGAUGACGAAUAAGGCCUGACACCUGCCCGGUGCUGGAAGGUUAAGAGGGGAUGUUAGCUUUAGAGCGACGCAUUGAAUCGAAGCCCCAGUAAACGGCGGCCGUAACUAUAACGGUCCUAAGGUAGCGAAAUUCCUUGUCGGGUAAGUUCCGACC